rnacentral:lncRNA from 1 species
UAAGAAAAAAACUGGUCCCAGCUCCUUUUAUAAGCAUGUGUGAACCGGUCUGGUUUAUCUGAACCGGACCGGUCCAUAUGAUUCCUCUUUCCCUUCUUUCUAAACCUUUAGAUCCUUCCUUUUUUUUAAUCUAACGGUCAUGCAUGUGCAAUCUAUGGUGGUACUUGGUACAUCUUCAGAUCUAGACUGUUUGAUUUUUAAUCUAACGGUCAGGGAUGAUUCUGUUUAGAUCACACGCGUGUUCCUUGCUUGCAGUAUUCCAUGUUCUGUUUGGUUUAACUGUUGGAUCUUAGAUCCUAGGGCUGUGAUGAGAUUUUGGGAUUCAGAUCUGGACCUCUGGAUUCAUCCAACGGCCCAGAUUUGAUCCUGCUGAGCCAAUGUUUUAUUAUUUCUUAUUUUUAAUUAUCUUUGUUUUUUUAAAUACUGUUUUUUACACUUUUUGACAUUUUUGUGUUUAGAAAAAUUCUAAAAAAUAUUUUUCUCACUAUUUUAAUUUUCUCUAAUUUUAAAAAUCCAUCCUAAUUGUUUCCUUUUAAUUUUUUUUUUUUAUCUAUUUCUUAUAUGAUGAUCUUAAUUAUUAUUUGUCUUAAUUCUUGCUUAUUAUUUCGUAUGUCUCAUUCAUCAUAAUAUUUCUUGUGAUUACUAACUAUUUAAUUUUUGUCUUGAAUCAUAGCAUGCACAUUUAAUUUUCUCAUCAUUUUACUUUGUCACUGACUUAGUGUGUAUAAAUAGGGGAUUGAUGUAAUUUUAUUUCUUGCAUUUUAUUUUGGCAUAAAGGCCUUAGGGUUGUAUUUAGGAAUUGAUGUAAUAACGUAGGUAACACAAGCACCGACACUAUCACACAUUUAUUUCCUUUAUCGCUUUCCGCUCAUUAUUCGUUAUGCCGUGCGUUAGUUUAGAAAAAUCUUUUUUUUUUAAAAAAAAUCAAAUAUGCAAAACUUCAAAAUCAUUUUCUUAAUAACAUUUUUUCCUUUAUUUUCUUAAUCAAACUCUCAAUCAAUCUUAAUUCAACUUCAAUCAUUUUCAAAAUUUAAAAUUAAUCAACCUCACUCAUUUCUUUUAUCUCAUGCCUUGAGGCCUCUUUCUAUUAUUAAAACCAUUUUCAAAAAAAAUCUUAAAACCAACCUAACCCACCAAAGAAAUUUUUUAGUGGAACUACGUCGGUUUUGAUCCCUUUCCCAAAAAAGGGUACGUAGGCAGAGGACUUGUCCUUCCAAAUCAAAUAAAAAUAACCAAAAACAUACUUCUUCUCCCUCCAUUCUUUCACUUAGAUUUUUAGGUAAUAAUUUUCAAAUAAACAAUGAAUUUAGCACAAGAUAAUCUAGGUAAGAGGUUCCUAUGGGAUACCAUAGACGCUUAGGGUGCUAGCACCUUCCCUUCGCGUAACC